rnacentral:misc_RNA from 1 species
CAGCAACCAUUUGCCCAGACCAUUGCCUCACACAAUUCAGGUACACCUCAAGGAAAGAACAGAAAACCACACUCUGUCAGCUGCAACGUCGGGCCGAAGCCUAACAUACCGCCAAUAGAGGUUGCUUCCUUUAAUGUCCUAACCGAAGUCGCCCAAAUGCGCAAAGCGAUCCAAACAGAUCACCGCGAUUCGAGAAUCACACUUCAUCUUAGACACAAGAAAGAGCGAACGUACAUUUAAAGGGACUCGCGUCUUCUCCUCCGAAAAGGGAGCCAGCGAGACACCUCACAUUCUGCCAUCUCUCUCCCUGACUACACAGAAAAAGAAAGGCAAGUUUGAUGUACGGACACUGAUACAGGCAUACUUCCAGGCAUAACCCGAAAGUGCAAUGUGCGUUCAAAAUUUCGAUGACUCACUGAAUUCUGCAAUUCGCAUUACGUAUCGCAGUUCGCAGCGUUCUUCAUCGAUGUGCGAGCCUAGACAUCCACUGCUGAAAGUUGUUAUAGAUUAAAACCAUAAACUUUCGUUUUUGGAGUAUAGAUCAGUAUUAGGUAAAUGGGUUUGAAAAAUACAUCGGCAGACUACAAUUAAGCAGCCCACCUUCGUUCAGCCCUCCCGAAAGAGAGCACAGAACAUGAUUUCAACGGUUCACGUGGAAAGUUUUUAUGGUGUGGUAAUGAUCCUUCCGCAGGU